CGGGGUGAGUAAUGUAUGGGGAUCUGCCUGAUGGGGGGGGAUAACUACUGGAAACGGUAGCUAAUACCGCAUAACGUCGCAAGACCAAAGAGGGGGACCUUCGGGCCUCUUGCCAUCGGAUGUGCCCAGAUGGGAUUAGCUAGUAGGUGGGGUAACGGCUCACCUAGGCGACGAUCCCUAGCUGGUCUGAGAGGAUGACCAGCCACACUGGAACUGAGACACGGUCCAG
rnacentral:rRNA from 1 species